UUCAUCAGCUGCCAAGAAGUAUGGUACAAACCGACCAAAAAAACGCUCUUGCAGCUGCAACUAAAGCAACAUCUUCCUGUUCAAUGGAGUGCAACAGCACUUGAGGUUCAAUUGUAUCUAAAUCAAUGCUUGUAACGCCAAAUAUCUCAUUAGAGAACGGAAAGGACACUGCUGACCGAGUCAUCGGCUACUGCGUCUAGUUAGGCCGACGCAGACCACGUAGAUGAUGAAAUGAAUGUCCACAUUGAAGCAACCUGCUGGGAGAUCACUUCCUAAAUUACAGGAAAUUAAAUAUCAUUGACAGAAAAAAUAGAAGCCGAAUUCCUAAAUAAAAAGUUCUUAUUAAAUCAGCAAAAGAACUAACUGGAUUUAGAUAGAAGACCAUCGACACCG